AGAGUUUGAUCAUGGCUCAGAUUGAACGCUGGCGGCAGGCCUAACACAUGCAAGUCGAACGGUAACAGGAAGAAGCUUGCUUCUUUGCUGACGAGUGGCGGACGGGUGAGUAAUGUCUGGGAAACUGCCUGAUGGAGGGGGAUAACUACUGGAAACGGUAGCUAAUACCGCAUAACGUCGCAAGACCAAAGAGGGGGACCUUCGGGCCUCUUGCCAUCGGAUGUGCCCAGAUGGGAUUAGCUAGUAGGUGGGGUAACGGCUCACCUAGGCGACGAUCCCUAGCUGGUCUGAGAGGAUGACCAGCCACACUGGAACUGAGACACGGUCCAGACUCCUACGGGAGGCAGCAGUGGGGAAUAUUGCACAAUGGGCGCAAGCCUGAUGCAGCCAUGCCGCGUGUAUGAAGAAGGCCUUCGGGUUGUAAAGUACUUUCAGCGGGGAGGAAGGGAGUAAAGUUAAUACCUUUGCUCAUUGACGUUACCCGCAGAAGAAGCACCGGCUAACUCCGUGCCAGCAGCCGCGGUAAUACGGAAGGUGCAAGCGUUAAUCGGAAUUACUGGGCGUAAAGCGCACGCAGGCGGUUUGUUAAGUCAGAUGUGAAAUCCCCGGGCUCAACCUGGGAACUGCAUCUGAUACUGGCAAGCUUGAGUCUCGUAGAGGGGGGUAGAAUUCCAGGUGUAGCGGUGAAAUGCGUAGAGAUCUGGAGGAAUACCGGUGGCGAAGGCGGCCCCCUGGACGAAGACUGACGCUCAGGUGCGAAAGCGUGGGGAGCAAACAGGAUUAGAUACCCUGGUAGUCCACGCCGUAAACGAUGUCGACUUGGAGGUUGUGCCCUUGAGGCGUGGCUUCCGGAGCUAACGCGUUAAGUCGACCGCCUGGGGAGUACGGCCGCAAGGUUAAAACUCAAAUGAAUUGACGGGGGCCCGCACAAGCGGUGGAGCAUGUGGUUUAAUUCGAUGCAACGCGAAGAACCUUACCUGGUCUUGACAUCCACAGAACUUUCCAGAGAUGGAUUGGUGCCUUCGGGAACUGUGAGACAGGUGCUGCAUGGCUGUCGUCAGCUCGUGUUGUGAAAUGUUGGGUUAAGUCCCGCAACGAGCGCAACCCUUAUCCUUUGUUGCCAGCGGUCCGGCCGGGAACUCAAAGGAGACUGCCAGUGAUAAACUGGAGGAAGGUGGGGAUGACGUCAAGUCAUCAUGGCCCUUACGACCAGGGCUACACACGUGCUACAAUGGCGCAUACAAAGAGAAGCGACCUCGCGAGAGCAAGCGGACCUCAUAAAGUGCGUCGUAGUCCGGAUUGGAGUCUGCAACUCGACUCCAUGAAGUCGGAAUCGCUAGUAAUCGUGGAUCAGAAUGCCACGGUGAAUACGUUCCCGGGCCUUGUACACACCGCCCGUCACACCAUGGGAGUGGGUUGCAAAAGAAGUAGGUAGCUUAACCUUCGGGAGGGCGCUUACCACUUUGUGAUUCAUGACUGGGGUGAAGUCGUAACAAGGUAACCGUAGGGGAACCUGCGGUUG
rnacentral:rRNA from 1 species